UCGAGCGAAGACUAGAUUUGUAGUAGAAAUGAUUGAUUUUCACUUUGUGGAGAUUAUGAGUUUUUGCUAUUCCUGGUCUUAGCGGCGAACGGGUGAGUAACGCGUGAAUAAUCUGCCCUUGAAAUCGGGAUACCAUUCCGAAAGGAAUGCUAAUACCGAAUAACGUUAUGAAACACAAGUUUCAUAACCAAAGUUGAAUCUUUGGAUUCUUCGUUCAAGGAUGAGUUCGCGUCCUAUUAGCUAGUUGGUGAGGUAAAGGCUCACCAAGGCUAUGAUGGGUAGCCGGCCUGAGAGGGCGUACGGCCACAUUGGGACUGAGACACGGCCCAGACUCCUACGGGAGGCAGCAGUAGGGAAUCUUCCGCAAUGGGCGAAAGCCUGACGGAGCGAUGCCACGUGGAUGACGGAGGCCUUCGGGUCGUAAAAUCCUGUCAGGGGGGACGAUGGUCAAUUUUCGGAUUGAUUGACGGUACCUUCAGAGGAAGCUCCGGCCAACUACGUGCCAGCAGCCGCGGUAAUACGUAGGGAGCAAGCGUUGUUCGGAUUUACUGGGCGUAAAGAGUGCGUAGGUGGCUAUACAAGUCAAUGGUGAAAUCUCUACUUUCAAGGUAGAAACUGCCUUUGAUACUGUAUUGGUAGAGGGCAAGAGGGGGAAAUGGAACUCUGGGAGUAGCGGUGAAAUGCGUAGAUAUCCAGAGGAACGCCAGUAGCG
rnacentral:rRNA from 1 species